UACGUAGGUGGCAAGCGUUGUCCGGAUUUACUGGGCGUAAAGGGCGUGCAGGCGGUCUGUUAAGUCUAGGAUGAAAGCUCCCGGCUCAACUGGGAGAGGUCCUUGGAUACUGGCGGACUUGAGGGAGGCAGAGGAAAGUGGAAUUCCCGGUGUAGUGGUGAUAUGCGUAGAUAUCGGGAGGAACACCAGUGGCGAAGGCGGCUUUCUGGGCCUUACCUGACGCUGAGGCACGAAGGUCAGGGGAGCAAACGGG
rnacentral:rRNA from 1 species